rnacentral:rRNA from 1 species
UAACGAAUCUUCCGCAAUGCACGAAAGUGUGACGGAGCGACGCCGCGUGGAGGACGAAGUUCUUCGGAAUGUAAACUCCUGUCAGGGAUUAGAAAGUUCUGAUCAAUCCCAGAGGAAGAGACGGCUAACUCUGUGCCAGCAGCCGCGGUAAGACAGAGGUCUCAAGCGUUAGGCGGAAUCACUGGGCUUAAAGCGUGUGUAGGCGGAGUCCUAAGUACCUUGUGAAAUCCCCGGGCUUAACCCGGGAACUGCUUGGUAUACUGGGUCUCUUGAGCCAACUAGGGGCAACCGGAACAAACGGUGGAGCGGUGAAAUGCGUAGAUAUCGUUUGGAACGCCAAUGGUGAAAACAGGUUGCUGGGGUUGUGCUGACGCUGAGACACGAAAGCCAGGGGAGCGAACGGGAUUAGAUACCCCUGUAGUCC